UAUAAAAUAAUAAUAUUGUAACUACUCCCAAAUUAAAAUUAAUGAAUUUCAUAAUUAUAAUAACCUAGUUAAAUCAAAUGAAAUUCCUAUCUUAAUCAUCAUUCAAUUACCAUUAUAUGUGUAGAACGUAGUGGAAGUAUUCGUUCGUACCUUUUUGCGGAAGCGAUUCGCUACAACGCGAUGAGCCCGGAUCGUCGAGGUUGAUUCACGUGUCCUUUGAUCGUCCUUGAUUAAAUCUUCUCACGUUCCAAAACCAUGAUGUAUCGAACUACAAACGAGCACGAUCACAAAUCCACCGUUCAAGUCCCUCUUAGAAUAAUAGGUUGAUGGAGGAUAUGGUUUCUCUCUUUCGUUUUCUUAUUCUCUUUUCUUUUUCCGUUCGUGUUCAUUUUAUGUGGGAUCGCCCGUCUAUUUAUAAGGAAUUCCAAAAUCCUAAUAGCGUUAGAGAUAAGGCCAAAUCGGUUAUUAUUUGUUAUCCUAAUAUGAUUAGAUUUAUCUCUAAUUAGCUUUUCAAUUUGAAAGCGAGAUUAAUCCUAAUCCAAUUAGAUAACAUAAUAUCCGUCGGAUCGAACCCGCUUAUGGGCGUACCCGAUUCGAUUUAACCGAAUGCCAAC
rnacentral:lncRNA from 1 species